UACGUAGGGUGCAAGCGUUGUCCGGAAUUAUUGGGCGUAAAGAGCUUGUAGGCGGUUUGUCGCGUCUGCUGUGAAAUCUCGGGGCUCAACCCCGAAACUGCACUUGAUACUGCCUUGCUCGAGUACUGGAGAGGAGACUGGAAUUUACGGUGUAGCAGUGAAAUGCGUAGAUAUCAGGAGGAAUACCGAUGGCGAAGGCAGGUCUCUGGGCUGACACUGACGCUCAUGCACGGAAAGCGUGGGGAGCAAACAGG
rnacentral:rRNA from 1 species